rnacentral:rRNA from 1 species
AGAUUGAACGCUGGCGGCAGGCCUAACACAUGCAAGUCGAGCGGUAGAGAGGUGCUUGCACCUCUUGAGAGCGGCGGACGGGUGAGUAAAGCCUAGGAAUCUGCCUGGUAGUGGGGGAUAACGCUCGGAAACGGACGCUAAUACCGCAUACGUCCUACGGGAGAAAGCAGGGGACCUUCGGGCCUUGCGCUAUCAGAUGAGCCUAGGUCGGAUUAGCUAGUUGGUGAGGUAAUGGCUCACCAAGGCGACGAUCCGUAACUGGUCUGAGAGGAUGAUCAGUCACACUGGAACUGAGACACGGUCCAGACUCCACGGGAGCAGCAGUGGGGAAUAUGGACAAUGGGACGAAAGCCUGAUCCAGCCAUGCCGCGUGUGUGAAGAAGUCUUCGGAUUGUAAAAGCUAACGUUUAAAGGUUGGGAAGGAAGGGUACAAGUUUAAACCUAAAGUAACGUUUAGUUAGUUUUUAGACGUUUAACCGAACAGAAAUAAACGCACCGGCUAAACUCUGU